rnacentral:rRNA from 1 species
CACUGCUCUGACGGAUGCUUUUAUUAGACCAAGCCGCUGAGGACUUGAGGGCUUGCUCUCCUGUCUGACUCGUGUAAUGGUGACUCUGGAUAACCAAAUUUCUGACAAGCGCACGUACUUCUCUUCUGAGCGAGACGGCGCUGCCACUUUCGAGUGUCUGCCUUAUCAGCUAUCAACCGUUCGUUAUGCGCGACCGAUGGCUUUGACGGGUAACGGGGAAUCAGGGUUCGAUUCCGGAGAGGCAGCCUGAGAGACGGCUACCACGUCCAAGGACGGCAGCAGGCACGCAAAUUACCCAAUCCCAGCAAAUGGGGGAGGUAGUGACGAAAUCUAACGAUGCGGGCGCCCUUUCUGGGGCCCCGCAAUCGGAAUGGGCACUUUCUAAACAACCUGUUGAGAACCUACUGAAGGGCAAGUCUGGUGCCAGCAGCCGCGGUAAUUCCAGCUUCAGCAGCAUCUAUUAAAGUUGCUGCGGUUAAAAGGCUCGCAGUUGAAUGUCUGUAUCGAGCGCAGGUCAGGUGGACGUUGGGGCGUGGAAGUACGGGCAGUUGGAUGUCCGGAGGGCCUUCGUGCUCAACGGCUCCUUCGGCUUUUCCACACACCCCCGUCCGUGACAAGCCUCCUCGCUCGGGUACAUAACGGGAAUCGGUCAAACGGAGUGUGGUCGGGGGUUGGGGCGCGUGGCCUCGGUUGCGUGUCUCUUCUUUCGGCUGCGUUAAGCUCCAUCGGUUUCACGGUCACCUUGAGUAAAUCAGAGUGCUCAAAGCAGUCGUAGGGGCCUUGCGCCCUGUGAACAGUCUUGACGGACUGACUUGGUUUUGCAUGGCAUGUCGGAAGACGACGUCGUGUGCUGGCUCAGAGGAUAAAUCAGUGGUACAAGCCAGCCUCGACGUAAUGAUUAAAAGGGACGGUCGAGGGCAUUGGUAUUGCGAGGCGAGAGGUGAAAUUCUGUGACCCCCGCAAGACCUCCUGAAGCGAAAGCGUCUGCCAAGGACGUUUUCAUUAAUCAUGAACGAAAGUUAGAGGAUCGAAGGCGAUCAGAUACCGCCCUAGUUCUAACCCUAAACGAUGCCAACCAUCAAUCCGCGCGUAGCACCCUUCUUAACGGGCUCGGCGGGCAGCUCCCCACUCACGGGAAACCAGAGCCUCUGGGUUCCGGGGGGAGUCUGGUUGCAAAGCUGAAACUUAAAGGAAUUGACGGAAAGGCACCACCAGGCGUGGAGCCUGCGGCUUAAUUUGACUCAACACGGGCCAUCUCACCAGGCCAGCACUCUUGUACGAUUGACAGAUGAGAGCUCUUCUCGAUUCAGUGGAUGGUGGUGCAUGGCCGUUCUUAGUUGGUGGAGUGAUCUGUCUGGUUAAUUCCGAUAACGAACGAGACUCUCCCCUGCUAACUAGUCGGUUGGAUCUUGAUCAGCGGGUUGCGUGCCGAGUAACUCUCGCUGUGCGUGGUGCGUAGCUGGGCCUCACGGUUCGUUGCGUGCUCGCGUGGCGUUGGAUGCCUUGGAUUACACUGCACCCCAAGUCCGCCGCUUAUGCUAUAACUCUUCUUAGAGGGAUUCACGGCACUGAAGCCGUAAGAGACUGAGAGCAAUAACAGGUCUGUGAUGCCCUUAGAUGCUCUGGGCCGCACGCGCGCUACAAUGCCGGGCACAGCAGGUGUUUCUCCUUCUCCGACAGGAGCGGGUAACCCUCUGAAAGCCAGUGUUCUUGCAAGUGCUUCCUCCCUCGUGGAGUUGCACAGAGGCGUGCUUGGGCCUGGGACUUGCAAUUCUUUCCCACCAACGAGGAAUGCCUAGUA